GUAGGUGGCAAGCAUUGUCCGGAAUUAUUGGGCGUAAAGCGCGCGCAGGCGGUUCUUUAAGUCUGAUGUGAAAGCCCACGGCUCAACCGUGGAGGGUCAUUGGAAACUGGAGAACUUGAGUACAGAAGAGGAAAGCGGAAUUCCACGUGUAGCGGUGAAACGCGUAGAGAUGUGGAGGAACACCAGUGGCGAAGGCGGCUUUCUGGUCUGUAACUGACGCUGAGGCGCGAAAGCGUGGGGAGCAAACAGGGAUUAGAUACCCUGGUAGUCCACGCCGUAAACGAUGAGUGCUAAGUGUUAGGGGGUUUCCGCCCCCUUAGUGCUGCAGCUAACGCAUUAAGCACUCCGCCUGGGGAUUCGGCCGCAAGGCUG
rnacentral:rRNA from 1 species